GACGAACGCUGGCGGCGUGCUUAACACAUGCAAGUCGAACGGAAAGGCCCUGCUUUUGUGGGGUGCUCGAGUGGCGAACGGGUGAGUAACACGUGAGUAACCUGCCUUUGACUUUGGGAUAACUUCAGGAAACUGGGGCUAAUACCGGAUAGGAGCUCCUGCGGCAUGGUGGGGGUUGGAAAGUUUCGGCGGUUGGGGAUGGACUCGCGGCUUAUCAGCUUGUUGGUGGGGUAGUGGCUUACCAAGGCUUUGACGGGUAGCCGGCCUGAGAGGGUGACCGGCGACAUUGGGACUGAGAUACGGCGCAGACUCCUACUGGAGGCAGCGGUGGGGAGUAUUACACAGUGGGCGGAAGUCUGAUGCAGCAACGCCGCGUGCGGGAUGACGGCCUUCGGGUUGUAAACCGCUUUCGCCUGUGACGAAGCGUGAGUGACGGUAAUGGGUAAAGAAGCACCGGCUAACUACGUG
rnacentral:rRNA from 1 species